CCUACGGGGGGCAGCAGUGAGGAAUAUUGGUCAAUGGGCGAGAGUCUGAACCAGCCAAGUAGCGUGAAGGAUGACUGCCCUAUGGGUUGUAAACUUCUUUUAUAUGGGAAUAAAAUGUUCCACGUGUGGGAUUUUGUAUGUACCAUAUGAAUAAGGAUCGGCUAACUCCGUGCCAGCAGCCGCGGUAAUACGGAGGAUCCGAGCGUUAUCCGGAUUUAUUGGGUUUAAAGGGAGCGUAGGUGGAUUGUUAAGUCAGUUGUGAAAGUUUGCGGCUCAACCGUAAAAUUGCAGUUGAAACUGGCAGUCUUGAGUACAGUAGAGGUGGGCGGAAUUCGUGGUGUAGCGGUGAAAUGCUUAGAGAUCACGAAGAACUCCGAUUGCGAAGGCAGUUCACUGGACUGCAACUGACACUGAGGCUCGAAAGUGUGGGUAUCAAACAGGAUUAGAUACCCGAGUAGUC
rnacentral:rRNA from 1 species